UUCAAUUUCGCAAGAUGGUUUUGAUGGUGGGUAUGAAUCAACACUUGGACUUAAUCAUAUUAUAUGCUAAACCGUCUCAGAUCUAAUGGACCCUUGGACUUAAUUAUCACAAUGUUAGCGAUGUUUCUAAUGAACCCUUCCUCGCGACCCAGUGAUGAGAAGUCUAUUGAGCAUUCAAUCGAAAUCGUUAAGACUUCCAUUUAUUCUAGAUGAUAGAAAACGAAAUGUUUUUGUCGGAUGAUGGUGGUGCAAGUGCAACUGCUCAUAAACUGACACAACUAGCCUCUAUCUUUUUCUCUCCUUUUUUUAUUGAACAUAGCUAGCC